rnacentral:rRNA from 1 species
CCUACGGGCGGCAGCAGUGAGGGAUAUUGCGCAAUGGGCGAAAGCCUGACGCAGCGACGCCGCGUGGGCGAGGAAGGCCUUCGGGUUGUAAAGCCCUUUUGGCAGGGAAGAGCAAUGACUGUACCUGCAGAACAAGUCACGGCUAACUACGUGCCAGCAGCCGCGGUAAAACGUAGGUGGCGAGCGUUAUCCGAAGUCACUGGGCGUAAAGCGCGCGUAGGCGGGCCACUAAGUCGGAUGUGAAAUCUCCACGGCGCAACCGGGAAAGUGCAUCCGAUACUGGUGGUCUUGAGGCGUGGAGAGGGAAGUGAAAUUCCUGGUGUAGGGGUGAAAUGCGUAGAUAUCAGGAGGAACACCCGUGGCGAAGGCGGCUUCCUGGCCAUGGCCUGACGCUGAGGUGCGAAAGCCAGGGGAGCGAACGGGAUUAGAUCCCCCUGUAGU